rnacentral:rRNA from 1 species
UUUCCCGGUUGAUCCCGCCCGGAGGUCACUGCUAUUGGGAUUCGACUAAGCCAUGCGAGUCGAGAGGGUUCGGCCCUCGGCUGACGGCUCAGUAACACGUGGAUAAUCUGCCCUUUAGGUGGAGGAUAAUCUCGGGAAACUGAGGACAAUACUCCAUAGGUUUAGGAGGCUGGAAUGCAUCUAGACUCAAAGCUCCGGCGCCUAAGGAUGAGUCUGCGGACUAUCAGGUUGUAGUCAGGGUAAUGACCUGACUAGCCUACGACGGAUACGGGUUGUGAGAGCAAUAACCCGGAGACGAUAUCUGAGACACGAUAUCGGGCCCUACGGGGCGCAGCAGGCGCGAAAACUUCACACUGUGCGAAAGCACGAUGAGGGAAUCCCAAGUGCCAGCUCGUAAGAGUUGGCUGUUUCUUUGUUUAAAGUACAGAGAAAGUAAGAGCUGGGUAAGACGGGUGCCAGCCGCCGCGGUAAUACCUGCAGCUCAAGUGGUGACCGUUAUUAUUGGGCCUAAAACGUUCGUAGCCGGUUUAGUAAAUGCCUGGGUAAAUCGUGUAGCUUAACUAUACGAAUUCCGGGUAGACUGCUAAACUUGAGACCGGGAGAAGCUAGAGGUACUCCUGGGGUAGAGGUAAAAUUCUGUAAUCCUAGGGGGACCACCAGUGGCGAAGGCGUCUAGCUAGAACGGGUCUGACGGUGAGGGACGAAGCCCUGGGGCGCAAACCGGAUUAGAUACCCGGGUAGUCCAGGGUGUAAACGCUGCUCGCUUGAUGUUAGUUGGGCUCCGUGCCCAAUUAGUGUCGGAGAGAAGUUGUUAAGCGAGCUGCCUGGGAAGUACGGUCGCAAGACUGAAACUUGAAGGAAUUGGCGGGGGAGCACAGCAACGGGUGGAGCGUGCGGUUUAAUUGGAUUCAACGCCGGA